CGAGGUGUAGCGCAGUUUGGUAGCGCACAUGGUUUGGGACCAUGGGGCCGGGGGUUCGAGUCCCUNGGGUUCGAACCCCUUCCAGGUCGCC
rnacentral:tRNA from 1 species